rnacentral:lncRNA from 1 species
GACUUAUAUAUCCACCUUAAGAUUGGAAAGUUAUAAAGCUUAAACUUGAAGACUACAUUGACUUGAACACUUGGAAAACUUUGAAGAUUUGGCGGACUUUGCAGACUUCAACUCGAAGAUUCAGAGGGUUUAAACAAUUCAAAUUUAAGACCGACGAAAUUGAAGACUGGAACUUGAAGACCAACGAAUUUGAAGACUUCAACUUUGAGACUUGAAGGGUCUAAAUACUUCAACUUGAAAAUCACCGAAUUUGAAGACUUCAACUUGAAGACCGACGGACUUGAAGACUUCAACUUUGAGACUUAGAGGGCCUAAAUAUUUCAACUUAAAGUUCAAUGGAUUUGAAGACUUCAACUUGAAGACCGACGAACUUGAAGGCUUCAACUUUGAGACUUGGAUGGCCUAAAUAUUUCAACUUGAAGGUCGGCGAAUUUGAAGACUUCAACUUGUAGAAUGACAGACUUGAAGACUUCAACUCUGAGACUUGGAGGGCCUAAAUAUUUCAACUUGAAGAUCGGCGAAUUUGAAGACUUCAACUUGAAGACCGGCGGACUUGAAGACUUCAACUUGAAGACUUAGAGGGCCUAAAUAUUUCAACUUGAAGAUCGGCGAAUUUGAAGACUUCAACUUGAAGACCAACGAACUUGAAGACUUCAACUUUUAGAAUUGGAGGGCCUAAUAAUUUCAAUUUGAAGAUCGGCGAAUUUGGAGACUUCAACUUGUAGACCGACGGACUUGAAGACUUCAAUUUUGAGAUUUCGAGGGCCUAAAUAUUUCAACUUGAAGAUCGACAAAUUUGAAUACUUCAACUUGAAGACCAACGGAGUUAAAGAUUUCAACUUGGGAACUUCAACU